AGUGAAUAGAUACCCAGGUAGUCCACGCCGUAAACGAUGGGCACUAGGCGUCGGGGGAGCGACCCUCUCGGUGCCGUCGCUAAACGCAAUAAGUGCCCCGCCUGGGGAGGUACGGUCGCAAGACUGAAACUCAAAGGAAUUGACGGGGGCCCGGCACAAGCGGUGGAGCAUGUGGUUUAAAUUCGAAGCAACGCGAAGAACCUUACCUGGGCUUGACAUGCACGGGAAAGCUGGUGGAAACAUCGGCCCCUCUUCGGAGUCCGUGCACAGGUGCUGCAUGGCUGUCGUCAGCUCGUGUCGUGAGAUGUUGGGUUAAGUCCCGCAACGAGCGCAACCCUUGUCCCUAGUUACCAGC
rnacentral:rRNA from 1 species